GCUGAUUUGGCCGAGUGGUCUAAGGCGGUGCACUUAAGAUGCACUCUCGAAAGGGGCGUGGGUUCGAACCCCACAGUCAGCA
rnacentral:tRNA from 1 species